rfam:Erythranthe guttata cultivar DTN x IM62 scaffold_62_contig_10, whole genome shotgun sequence.
CUUGUAACUCCGCCUGUGCUGCAAUAUUUGCUCAGCACAGCCGGUCCCAAGCCCGGGUAAAGGAGGAGGGCCAAG